CUUUGCCGAUGGGAGUCGGGGCCGCCUUGAAUCUCAUCUCUCUUGUUUUCUGUUUUUUUUUCCUAUACAGAUUCCGGCUCCGAUCAAGACGGAGUUUGCCUUUGAAUGUUUUUUUUCAACGUGUGUAUGUUGUGGAGUUUUGGUGCAGUUGAGGUGCUGCAAUAUAGCAUCCUAAUUCUCUCUAGCUUCUUGUAGCUCUGGUUGCCUGUGAUGGAAUUGAUCACGGUGAUUAAUUUUCUUUUGUGUCCUAGGAAGUUCAGCGGCUGCACUGUGAUCAAGCUCUCUUGUUCUGUCUUCCCUUGCUCCUAGUUCCUGCAAGGAGAAUAUCCAGAUAAAGUUUUUUCUUCUUCCUUGUUCUCUAUUCCGUUGGUGGUGGUGUUGUUACGGUUCAGUGCGAUUCCAAUGGCGAUUUGUUCCUUGGUAGAAGCGGUGCAACGGUGGAUUGCGGCUAGAGUUCCCGGUGGAGUGGCGGUGUCACCCAAGGUUUUUCUUCCCUCGUUGGUUUUGUUCCCAUGGUCCGACGUUUUGUGGACUGUCGGAAGUGCGACGCUUUGGUGCGGGUUCUUCUUCCUUAGAGCUCAUUUGGAGUGGAGGUUCAAAACCCACAAUCCGGAAGCUGGUGUUCUCUGCGGUUCCUAGGGCAAGGGCGUACGCUGUGAUCAAUAAGGUUGUGUCCAGCCUCUACUUAGUCGAUUGCUGAAGGUGCGACACCAAGGGUCAAAAUCGGCUUAAAGUGAAUUCACUUUGUGACGAACUUGCUACGCCAUUCCAUAUUCAUUGGAUUAUUAAGAUUAGGCAAUCUUAAGUAGGCAAUUGAGACGCAUUAAGUAAGCUCUUCUUUGAAAAGUUAAGGUAGGAACCAUAGUCACGAAUUAGUCACGAAUUAGUGCAUGGUAGUGUUGGAUAGGAGCGCAUGCAAUUGUUAGGAAGUAAGUUCUGCUGUUGAGAUCAACAUCAUCAUCCAGUACUGGAGGGGUCAACCUACACUCUGGCACACACCAAGCUAGCCAGCAACUUCGUUAGCCUCUUGCAUGUUUUCCCGACAUUCUCUGCAACCUAUCCUGGAGGCAGCUGGUUGCUCGGCUUCAAUUUUGCAGAGUCUUAAGAAGUGAACACCAUCGAUCAACCAAGUGUCAACAUGCACAUAACUGUAGUAGGUACUCCAACUUGUUGUCAACGUAAUUGGUGAGUAUUUCCACAAUAGGUGAAGUAGAUUAAUUGGAUGAAGUUUAGUUAAUAAUAGAAGCUGUUAGGAUUUGACCUAAUUAUGAUUUUGGAUGAAAUUUACUUGGAUGAAUAAUAAUUUUAGAUGAAGUUUAAAUAAAAGACGAAAUUUUAAAA